UCCCUGGUGGUCUAGUGGUCAGGAUUUAGUGCUGUUGUUGCUAUAGCCUAGGUUCAAUCUCUGGUCUGGGAA
rnacentral:tRNA from 1 species